AACGAACGCUGGCGGCAUGCCUAACACAUGCAAGUCGAACGAAACCUCCGUGCCUAUGGGCGCACCUCUGCGUACCGCCUGGGAACUUACCCUUAGGUUCCCUAUCCCUCCCCGAAAGAGGUCCUAAUACCGCAUAGGCUCUUCCCACCUAGGAUGUCUCGCCAUUGGAUGGGCGCGCGUUGGUUUCGCUAGUUGGUAGGGUAAUAGCCUGCCAAGGCGACGAUGCUUAGCUGGUCUGGUAGGAUGAUAAGCCACACUGGGAAUGAGACACGGACCAGACUCGUACGGGACGGAGGAGUGGGGAAUAUUGGACGAGGGGCGAAAGCCUGAUCCAGCAACGCCGGGGGAGUGAUGAAGGGCUUAGGGUUGUAAAGCUCUUUUACCCGGGAUGAUAAUGACAGUACCGGGAGAAUAAGCACCGGCUAACUACGUG
rnacentral:rRNA from 1 species